rnacentral:rRNA from 1 species
ACUUUACAAUGCGAGAAAUCGUGAUAAGGGAACCCCGAGUGCCCGUAAAUUCGGGCUGUCCGCCAGUGUAAAUAACUGGUGAAGAAAGGGCCGGGCAAGACCGGUGCCAGCCGCCGCGGUAAUACCGGCGGCUCGAGUGGUGGCCACUAUUACUGGGCUUAAAGCGUCCGUAGCUGGAUUGUUAAGUCUCUUGGGAAAUCCACCGGCUCAACCGAUGGGCGUUCAGGAGAAACUGGCAAUCUAGGGACCGGGAGAGGUGAGAGGUACUCCAGGGGUAGGAGUGAAAUCCUGUAAUCCUUGGGGGACCACCUGUGGCGAAGGCGUCUCACUAGAACGGCUCCGACAGUGAGGGACGAAAGCUGGGGGAGCAAACCGGAUUAGAUACCCGGGUAGUCCCAGCUGUAAACGAUGCGCGUUAGGUGUAUCGGUGACCACGAGUCAUCGAGGUGCCGAAGGGAAACCGUGAAACGUGCCGC